UAGGGUAAUAGUUUAAUAUAAUAACAUUUAAUUUGCAAUUAAAAAAUAUUGAAAUUUACAAUUUACCUU
rnacentral:tRNA from 1 species